rnacentral:rRNA from 1 species
UACGUAGGGUGCAAGCGUUAAUCGGAAUUACUGGGCGUAAAGCGUGCGCAGGCGGUUUUGUAAGUCUGUCGUGAAAUCCCCCGGGCUCAACCUGGGAAUUGCGAUGGAGACUGCAAGGCUAGAAUCUGGCAGAGGGGGGUAGAAUUCCACGUGUGAGCAGUGAAAUGCGUAGAGAUGUGGAGGAACACCGAUGGCGAAGGCAGCCCCCUGGGUCAAGAUUGACGCUCAUGCACGAAAGCGUGGGAGCAAACAGG